AUAUUUUUUCCUUCUUCUUUUUGUAAUGAUAUCACGUGGUUAAGCGUAUUGUUUUAAUUAUUUCAGUAUUUCUGCAUCACGUUAGACAGGGUCGUGUUUUUAAAGGGCAGUUUAUGCUCAAAUUAUGGGUCAGUGGGCUGCUCAGCUAGCCUACCAUUGUCAUUAGCCUAAGCUAACCUGUACUGUUUAUAGACCUGUUGCAGUUUUAAAUAAAUAAUGAUGUGACAUAUGGGUCUUCAGCUUUUAGACAUGACUAAUACAAGCACAACAAAGCACCCAACCCAAUAUCGCGUGAUAAUCGUGAUCUUGUAAAAAGUCCACACAUUUAGCAUAUUUUUACAAUACUAGCCUAACUUUUGCUUGACCACGUCAUGUGUAGCCAACACACACACAGUAACUACAGCAUAUUUACCAUGCUUCUCCUACUGUAACCGUAGUUUUACUCUGGAAUUUGUAACGCACAUAACCACGACAUUUACUAUGGGUAUACCAUAGUAACCAUAGUUUUACUCUGGUAUUUGUAGUUACUAACACACAAUAACCACGACAUUUACUAUGGGUUUACCAUAGUAACCAUAGUUUUACUCUGGUAUUUGUAGCUACUAACACACAAUAACCACGACAUUUACUAUGGGUUUACCAUAGUAACCAUAGUUUUACUCUGGUAUUUGUAUUUACUAACACACAAUAACCAAGACAUUUACUAUGGGUAUACCAUAGUAACCAUAGUUUUACUCUGGUAUUUGUAGCUACUAACACACAAUAACCAAGACAUUUACUAUGGGUAUACCAUAGUAACCAUAGUUUUACUCUGGUAUUUGUAGCUACUAACACACAAUAACCACGACAUUUACUAUGGGUUUACCAUAGUAACCAUAGUUUUACUCUGGUAUUUGUAUUUACUAACACACAAUAACCACGACAUUUACUAUGGGUUUACCAUAGUAACCAUAGUUUUACUCUGGUAUUUGUAUUUACUAACACACAAUAACCACGACAUUUACUAUGGGUUUACCAUAGUAACCAUAGUUUUACUCUGGUAUUUGUAGCUACUAACACACAAUAACCACAACACUUACCAGGAUUUUACCACAGUAACUGUGUUUUUACUCUACACUAUUUGUAAAGCACAGUAACCACUAAGUUUGCCAUGCCUUUAAUAUCUUUUUGUGAUGUAAUUGUAAUUCAGUGUUUUUUCUGUCUUGCAGUUACGUCGGAUUACAUACUCCACAACAACCUGUAAUCCAGCAGAUCUUUAAAGAAGCCAUCUCUUGUAAAAUCUCUCUCUCUCUCUCUCUCUCUCUCUCUCUCGCUCUGCUAGAAUUAACAGGGAACUUCAACUCCACGCUCCCAAUGCUGAUAUUGAAGAAGCUGUCAAGGGGGCUGAACAAGUCCUUCAAAGGAUCAACCCUUCACAGGAAGGCCUGUCAUGAGAUUUGAAUUUGACCAUCUUGUGCAUUUAUGAAGAAGACCAAAAGCUGCAAAGGCAAACACUUCCAAUGGCAGAAACUGAGAGUUUGCAUGAUGGCAUUUUCUCAGACGCUGAAUCUGAUGUGUACAGAUGAACUCAGGAGCCUACUAGAGUUGCCAAGGAACUUGUGCUUUAACUGAAGACCAGAAACGCAAAGAAAAUCAGUCAAACCAGUCCUAAAGAAAUGAGGAAUGAACAUGGACUUCUUGUGCCCCAAAAGAAAAGACAGAAAGCUCCUAAAAUGAGCAAAUAAGCUGUGCAUCAUCUCUGUGAUUUAGGAAGGAAAUGACUGAAUAUGAUGAAGCCAGUUGAUGAAGAUAUCAAUUGAAUGGCCACCGAGUGCAUCACUGCUACCUGAACCCAUCAGUUAUCUGCUGUGAAGACUGCAUUCACAAACCGCUCUACUGCGACAGCUCAGAUGUUACGGCCUGUAAAAGUAAACAUCACAGCUAAACAACGAGAGCUAGUCGUGGUGGGAUUCUUUUGGCCAAUAUCCCCAACAAGAAUCAAUGUUAAGUCCAGUGCAACAAUUAUAAAUAAAAAUACUAUAUAUUGUUUAUUGAUUUACCAUACCCUAAAUACAUGUUUUGGCCCUCCAGGACAUCUAGACCAGGUGGAGUGUGAGGAGGACCGUCAGAGACUCCAGCCAGCCGAGCCAUGGAUUGCUCUCACUGUUACCAUCAGGCAUGCAUUAUCACAGAACCUACACCAGCAGACAGUGAGACAAGUUCCUUUCACAGUCAAUCAGACUGAACUGAACUCAUACCAGUAAAACCAUACACACCCCACCAACCUCAUAUGCCCUGCACUCUUAUCAGUUAUGCUGACUGGACUCAAUAUUAUUAUGCACCCUGACAUUCUGUUUGCACUAAUUCAUACCGUGCUUUACUGCAGAGAUGUAUGUGUACUGUGAUUAUUAUUGUUUUCAAUUCAUGCUCUCUGUAUAGCAUAAUUUUUAACAUAUAUUGUUCUCUACCUGAAUUGAGUCCCUUAUAUAUGUGUGUUGCAUAUAUAUAUUCAGAAUUUGUAUUUCAUAUAUAUUCAUGAAUUAAUUCAUUUGUCAUCCAUGCUGUCACGCUGCAGC